CCAACAUUCAAGUUGCCCAUAUAUCUCUUCUGCAAAUUUUGAUUGUUUUUUUCAGAAAUUAAAUCAACAACAAUCCCUUUGAUUAAGUUGAAAUUUCGGUUAGGAUUCACUCUCCAUUGACUGAAUCCAAGAGGCUUACUAGAGGAUCCGCUGCUAAAAUGAGGGAAGAGAGACGAUCAGAACAUUUACAGGACCCAAUCGGUGUGCAAAACCUUCCUCAAAUUCAGAACGGAAAUGUAGAAUCUUCGUCUACUCGUGGGGAUCUUGAAAAAGACGACGAAGAACGAAUAGUUGUCGAAGAGGAUGGAAACGAAGAGGAAAAUGCUUUUGCCUACAAAGAUCUACCCAAGGAUGCACCCCACAUUCACUGCUUUGUUAACCAUGACAUUAAAACUCAGUUGACUAAGCAUCUUACUGAGCAACAAUAUAAUUUGUUUUGUGAGAAAAUAUGUUUCGAUCAUUAUAUGAGAAUGAGAAUAUGUGUUGGUCAAGGUCAAAUUCUUAGGUGUUGUAUGGCACUAGAACUUGAAUGUAGUACUUGGCAGGCUCUUGUUAUCCGAGUUAAUGGAACUGUCUUGAAGUUUACACUUAGAACGUUUGCACUGAUUACUGAAUCAAAUUG